UGGGGGUUUUCACAUGUCGUUUAAUCAACUGCAAGACUAUUAAAUAUUUGGAUAUCAUAAUCAAGAACGGAAGAGCAC